GACGAACGCUGGCGGCGUGCUUAACACAUGCAAGUCGAACGGAAAGGCCCUGCUUUUGUGGGGUGCUCGAGUGGCGAACGGGUGAGUAGCACGUGAGUAACCUGCCCUUGACUUUGGGAUAACUUCAGGAAACUGGGGCUAAUACCGGAUAGGAGCUCCUGCUGCAUGGUGGGGGUUGGAAAGUUUCGGCGGUUGGGGAUGGACUCGCGGCUUAUCAGCUUGUUGGUGGGGUAGUGGCUUACCAAGGCUUUGACGGGUAGCCGGCCUGAGAGGGUGACCGGCCACAUUGGGACUGAGAUACGGCCCAGACUCCUACGGGAGGCAGCAGUGGGGAAUAUUGCACAAUGGGCGGAAGCCUGAUGCAGCAACGCCGCGUGCGGGAUGACGGCCUUCGGGUUGUAAACCGCUUUCGCCUGUGACGAAGCGUGAGUGACGGUAAUGGGUAAAGAAGCAUCGGCUAACUACGUG
rnacentral:rRNA from 1 species